UUAAGCGACCAAGCGUACACGGUGGAUGCCCUGGCAGUCAGAGGCGAUGAAGGACGUGCUAAUCUGCGAAAAGCGCCGGCGAGGUGAUAUGAACCCUUGACCCGGCGAUGUCCGAAUGGGGAAACCCAGUGUGACUCGUCACACUAUCGUUAGCUGAAUACAUAGGCUAACGAGGCGAACCGGGGGAACUGAAACAUCUAAGUACCCCGAGGAAAAGAAAUCAACCGAGAUUCCCCCAGUAGCGGCGAGCGAACGGGGAGGAGCCCAGAGCC
rnacentral:rRNA from 1 species